rnacentral:lncRNA from 1 species
CAGAACACCGUCAAAUUCCUCGUAGUCACCACACCUUUGUGAUUCCUGAACCUGGAGGGGCGCAAAACCAAAAUUGAGUGGGUCAGUAAAACAAUUCUUUUCCAAAUCUAAACAUUUCUCAAAACGUUGUAACCCCUCUCCGUAAAACCUGUAUACUUUCCCAGAAAUAUAAAAUAUAAAUAUACAUAUAUAUAUUCUCAAUACUUCAAUUCAUUAACUCAACAUUUUCAUCAUAAUUAUGCCAUGCCACAUCAUCUCAACAUUUCUCAUAUUAAUUAUGCCAUGCCACAUCAUCUCAACAGUAAUAAGGUAUGAAUGCAUCAACAUAAAUCAUAUCAGGUGCAAUAAGAUAAUCAACCGGAGGCCCUCUAUUAGCCCGGUUGAACCUAGAGCUCAAAAUCUAUCACUCUCACACUCUGCCGGAGUCACUCCGCGUGACCUGUACGGCCUUCUGCACACAAGUUACGCUCUAGUGCUUCUCAUAAAUCAUCUGUGCACAUAAUCUAAGGUCACCCACCAGUCGGAAUCUCACUAACACUCUCGCGACUGGCCUGUCGUACCCACUCCGCGUGGACUGUACGACUAGCAUCUACUUGGAUCCAAGACGAGCGUGCGAUGCGGUGAAUACUAUAAGCACUAAACUAUGGUGCAGGAUUUGAGCUCAAUAUACAUCAACAUCAUCAUAACAAUAAUAAUACUCACCUGAUACUCACCUGUGCGUCCACCGCACCAUUUCAUAUAUAUGCAUCAUAUCUCAAUUCAUAUCAUUUCAUAUAAUUUCAUGCAUGGCAAUUCGAUUCACAUUUCUAUAUACUUUUCAUAUAAUUCUGUAUACUUUUCGCACACUUCUAUGCAUGGCAUUUCAACUAAUAUAUCUCAUAUACUUUUAUACAUUUUCAUUUAAAGCAUAAUUUCAUGCAUUUUCAAUUUCUGGGAAAACGGCAAGUAUAUAUGUAUAUGGAAAACAAAACUGCCCACUCACAGAAUACAUCAACGUGUCGAAGGUCCCUGAGCAUCCCUUGGCUAUGCCUGAUGCCCGCAUAAGCCUCACCUAUACAAAAGUAACCAAUUUGGCGUUAUUUAACGCCUAACCCAAUUCUUAGCUAAUAACUCCUCAUAUAUUCCUCAAAUUGGGUAUAUGAAUAUACCACUGUGACCUACACAACCUCAGGAUCAUCCCCAUAUUUUUAAAAUAAUUUUUGGAGGUUUCACGCGCCCCCACGCGCCUGACGUGGCACGGACCUACGCGCCCCCCACGCGCGGCCACGUGCCAUGCACACUGACGGCACAGUAACGGCAGUUAGGGAAUAUUCCGUUAAAUCCUAGCAUAUUCCGUUAAAUAAUUAACGGCGUCAGUCACGCCGUUAGCAUAUUCCGUCAAAACUGACGGAAUAUUCCCUGUCUUCUCCGACGACUGUUCGCCGGUUUCUGGAAAUUUUUCAAACUUGCUAUUCUCCUUCGUUUUUCAUCCAUUUUUCACGUAAUUUAUACCGAUUUGAAGCCCUAAUCAUAAGCUAUCACGAUGGACUAAUUUUAAGCUUCAAAAACAACGGAAUCAAACUUUCCAAAAAUAUGAAAAUUCGGCCUACCUUUGAACUAGGUGAUCCCGACGUCCAAUUCAUGCCAACGAAGCACUCCGAGCUUCCUUGGGACUUCCUUAAGCUCACUGUGAGCUUGGUUUGGCCUAAAACACAACCAAUUCAAAGCUCAUGAACAGUACACAUUCACGGCAACUUUAGAAACUAGGGUUUUCGAAGUGAAACUUACCUUAAACUGGUACCUACGUGAUCGUGGAGUCCUCAGGAAUGCAAUGGUGGUUUUAGAUCCGACUUUGGUAGAAGUUUUAGGGUGUUUUUGAAGUUGGUCCGUGAGUUCGAAGGAGAGAGAGACAGAGAGAGUGAGAAAUCGUGAAGGAGGAGAGAGAGAGAAUGACAAGGUACGGGAAUUGGGGAAGGUUUUGAGGGAUGUGGGGGUCCCCGUGUCCAACUCAAUCUCAAUUUCAAACUUUUAACAUAGAAACCUAAGUAAAAGUCUUGGCUUAGGUUUCUAAAACCAAUUAAUAUUCUAAUUCACCAAAGUUUAAGAACCUUAAGUAAAAACAAGUGUCCAAAUUACGCACUUUAGUCCCGUUUAGGGACAUUUUCGUAACUUCACGUCCUCGGAAUUAAAAUUCCGGGACGGACUGUGACAAUCAAGAACCCCCGACUAUAAAACCACUGAGGGAAUAGGUUUUAGAUUCAACCGAUCCUGAUAAACAAAAAUGGGUGGGCUUCCUUCUAUCUGAUACGGAAGUCGAAGAGUUGUUGAAAUUUCUUAGGAGCAACACUAAUGUUUUUGCAUGGUUCCAUAGGGACAUGACAGGAAUUGACCCGGAAGUGGCAUGUCACCAGCUGAAUGUGGAUCCGAGUUGUCCUCCACACCGACAAAAACAGAGGAGAUUUACGCUAGAGCGAAAUCAGAUUAUCAGUGUAGAAGUCGAUAGACCCCUCAAAGUUGGAUUCAUUCGUGAUGUCUGGUGCCCAACUUGGGUUUCAAAUGUCGUGGUGGUAGGCAAGAAAGAAAAAGGAAAAUGGCGUGUAUAUGUGGAUUACACCAACCUGAACAUGGUAUGCCAGAAAGACUGUUUUCCAAUUCCAAAAAUUGACCAGACGGUGGAUGCUACUGCCGGGUAUGCAUUGUUGUCUUUCUUAAACGCUUAUUCCAGUUCUAACCAAAUUCAUAUGGUUAUUAAAGAUCAAGAGAAAGCUGCUUUUAUCACUAAGCGUAUGUUGUAUUGUUACAUCGUCAUGCCUUUCGAACUCAAGAAUGCCAACUCGACUUAUCAAAGGUUAGUGAACAAGAUGUUUAAAAAUCAAAUUGGAAAUACAAUGGAGGUUUACAUUGACGAUAUGGUUGUCAAAAGCCGAGAAAGGUGCCAACACAUCGAUCAUCUACACAACAUUUUCAACGUAUUGAGAAGAUAUCGCAUGCAGCUAAACUCAGAAAAAUGUGCAUUCGGUGUAUCAUCUGGGCAGUUCUUAGGGCACAUAGUGAACAAACGAGGCAUUGAACCAAACCCAAUGAAAGUUGAAGCCUUGUGUAACAUGUCGGAUCUAAUAACACCUAGAGACAUUCAAGUGUUAACUAGGUGAGUUGUUGCCCUUAUCCGUUUCAUUUCACGAUCAUUCAAUCAAUGUGAACCUUUUUUUCAAGCCAUACAAAACAGGAGAGGAAGUGUGUGGGGGCAUGAGCAAAGGGAAGCUUUCAAACAACUGAAGAAGUAUCUCACAAGCCUAUUAUUGUUAACUAUCCCCAAGCAAAGUGAGCCGAUGUGCAUGUACCUGGCCGUAAACGAAAGGGUAGUAAGUGCUGCAUUAUUCAGAGAAGAAGGCUCAGUUCAACAACCCAUAUUUUACUUGAGCAAAAGUUUAAUUUAUGCAUAGAAGAGGUAUUCACCCAUUGAGAAGGUGAUGAUGGCCUUAAUAACCGCAAAGAAGAAGAUAUGUCAGUACUUCGAGGCAGACACCAUUGUGGUGUUAACUAAUCAACCAAUCAGGGCUAUCUUAUCUAAACUGGACUUAUUGGGAAGAAUUACGAAGUGGGCCAUUGAACUUAGUUCAUUUGACAUAAAGUAUCAGCCUCGAAGCACAACUAAAGAACAGGUAAUUGUUGACUUUCUUGUAGAGUGUUAUCCUCAUGAAAGUUUGCAGGGUGAAUGCGAGGAAAUUGCGGAAGUCGACCUUAAUGAGACCAAGUGGGAGCUGUAUGUGGAUGGGUCAUCCAAUCAAGCAGGAGCUGGAGCAGGGAUCAUUUUAAUUUCUUCUGAGGGUGUAGACUCAGAGCGUUCGGUUCGGCUGGAUUUUCCUGCAUCAACAAUGUGGUGGAAUAUGAAGCUCUGAUACUAAGCCUCAAACUUGCGAAACAAUUGAAGAUAAGUCGUCUCACCGUGCAUAAUGAUUCAUAACUUAUCGUUAGCCAAGCACUGAAGAGUAUACAACUAAAAAUGCGAGGAUAGAAGCAUAUCAGUAGCUGGUUAAAAGGCUGGCGAAUGGAUUCAAGUAUUUCGAGCUGAAGCAAAUACCUAGAAAAAUGAACGAAAAAAUGGAUCAACUAGCGUGUGCGGCGUUAGCCGUACAAGAGAACCUACGGGUAACCAAAGUAGAAUGUCUGUACUCCCUGAGUAUCGAGGUAGUGAGAUCAAAUGUGAUGCAGGUAGAUGGGCAAGGGGUGAGACUUGAUAACUCGUUGCUAGAGCAUGCUCAAGCUGAAGAUGAUGACUGUUAGAUGACACCAAUCAUAAACUACUUGACAAAAGGGAUCCAGCCAGAAAAUCAUGUGGAAGCGAGAAAACUCAAAAUAAAAACAGUAAGAUAUGCAAUCCUUAAUGACACGCUCUAUAGGAGGUCAUUCUCAGGACCAUGCCUAAGGUGCUUAAAUCCAAGGCAAUCUGAAUGGGUCUUAAGAGAAUUACAUAAAGGAAUGUGUGGGAAUCACUUUGAAGGAAGAAGUUUAGUGCAUCGAGCAUUAACCCAAGGCUACUUCUGGCCGUACAUGGCUUGAGACGCAGAGCAAUAUGUAAGAAAGUGCGACAAUUGCCAGAAAUAUGCACCGGUUGUUAGACAACCUGCCGAAUAAUUCAAUCCAAUCGUAGGACCCUGGCCAUUCAAUAAAUGAGGAAUGGACAUCGUAGGCCUGUUGCUAAGGACGUCCGGGAAUAACAGGUUUGUCUUUUUCGCCACAGACUACUUCACUAAGUGGGUGGAAGCAGAAACGUACAUUUCUAUUACACAAGAUGACGUUGUAAGAUUCGUAUGGCGAAACAUUAUAUGCUAGUUUGGCAUACCAAAGGCGAUUGUGAUGGAUAAUGGGACACAGUUCGACAAUCGAAGAUUUAGAAGUUAUUGCACAAAGAAAUGAAUCAUAUUACAAUUCUUUUCUAGAAGUUAUCCCCAUGGUAAUGGCCAAGUGGAGAAGACAAAUCGAACGAUUUCUUAUUGCUUAAAGAAAAAGUUAGAACAUCGCAAAGGAAAGUGGCAUGAGGAACUCCCCAAUGUAUUGUGGGCAUAUCGUACCACAAAAUGGAAACCAAUAAGAGAAAUCCCAUUCUCUCUCGAUUAUAACACUAAAGCAGUUAUCCCCACAGAAGUCGGUCUACCUACGAUUAGAACAUCAGUUGUGGAAAAUGGCCAGAACGAUCAACAGCUAGCCCAUAACCUUAACUUAGUCGAGGAACAAAGGGAAAUCGCCGCACUACGACUUGCGAACUACCAGAACCAAGUUGCCACUUACUUCAACAAAUGGGUCAAGUAAAAAAGGUUCAAGGUAAAUGAAUAGGUAUUGAGAAAGGUCAUGGAAAACACAAAAGAUUUGAAUGCAAUGGAGCUUAGACGCAUAUGGGAAUGACCAUAUGAGGUGACCGAAACCUUCGGAAAGGGAACUUAUAAACUCAGGCACGUUGAAACAGGUCAGUAUGUGUCACGCCCAUGGAAUGCAAUUCAUUUGAGAAAGUACCACAUUUAGCUUUUCGUGUUUAUGUUUUCUGUAUUUAAAUUUCUGUUUCCAGCAAUGUUGAAGGGUAAAUCCCUUCUUGUCUUCCUUGCAUGUCAAAUAGUGUAUCCCUAGAUGUCUCUUGACAUCUCCUUAUUGUAUGAUAAAUAAAGUUGCAUUUCAUUCAAAUCUUCGACUAAAGUCUAAAGUUGAAGAGCAUAAACCAUGGAUUGGGAUUGAAUCAAGAUCAAAAACAUAAGAUCGAGUGGGAAAAGAAAACCCAAGAUUGGAUAGGAGGAGUCCCAAUCAAGAUCGAGAAUCUAAGAUCGAGUGGGAAAAGAAAACCUAAGAGCGGAUGGGCGGAGACACAGUCAAGAUCGAGAAUUUAAGAUCGAGUGGGAAAAGAAAGCCCAAGAUUGAAUGGGCAAAUACCCAAUCAAGAUCAAAACUCUAAGAUCGAGUAGGAAAGGAAAGCCCAUGGGCAAAGACCCAAUCAAGAUCGAAAUCUAAGAUCGAGCGGGAAAAGAAAACAAAGAUCGAAUGAGCAAAGGUCUACCAAGAUCGAAAAUCUAAGAUCAAAUAGGUAAAAAACUGAUUAAGAGUAGAAUUCAAGGUUGAACGGUUUUGAGAUCGAUAACGAAAGGGCGAAUUUAAUAAAUCUGAUUUUCCUCCUCGAACACGUCGUGUGUUUGCAGAGGAAAAUGAGGCAUUACAUGUGCAAAAGUAAAAGCUCAAGCAAUGGGACAUUGUUUUCCUGCUAUAAAAGGGAAUAUCAUUUAUUUAAAAGAGGAAAACCUCUUGGAUGUUGGAUACAUAGUGCGAUAAAAGAUAAGAAUGAAAAAAGAAGUAAACCUACAAGUAGAAGGUGAAAACAAAGACAACAUCACUACUAGAUAUCCUAGUAGUGGUUGGACCAAAGGGCCCAACUUAUUACAAGCAAAAUGACAUCUAGUCUAACGAGGUGGAGAGACUAUCCCAGUUUACGAAGGGAAAUGCCUCUUUCUUCUUGGAGCAAAAAUAGUGAAUGCCCUAUUUAAAACCAUCAUGUAUGUCAUUUGAGUGAGCAACAGACACGGCACGAUCAGCAACCAUCAAAUCCCCCCUGAGACGAUCCACUCGGUGUUCAGCGUGUUGCAAGUAUCCCUUCAGAGUUUCACGCUCGUCCAAUAGCAAGGAAUAGUCGAAGCACUGGGGAUAGCAUAGGUGGAGACAGGAAUGUACGCGAGAAGCGCCCGCUUCAUCUCUUGCAUAAGGGUAAGGAGAAUGAGCGAUAGAGUCAAAAGCCCAAGUCGCGUAACUCCUUCCCGAAGAGACCAUUCUAUCAAUAACAUAAUUAUGAGCUCGAGUGGUAUAUUUCAGCCUUGGAGAAAUCCUUCCACCGACAACGAAGUCUAAAGCCUAUUUUCCACCCGACCUUGUUCGAGACCGGUACGUGGAUUCACAAAAAGUGUUAAGGACUUCAGAAGAGUGAGAAACCCUCAUUGGCGAACGAGAAGAUGAAUUAUAACAUAGCUCGAUAACAUUCCUAUAACCCUUCCGGGAGCUUCCUUUUUUUGGGACAUCAGCAUAGAGCCGGUAGUUGAGCUUCACUCUUCGAUUGUUAACCAUAUGAUCCAGAUACUACCUACUGGCUCUCAAACACCGCUUUAUAUAUAGACAAUUCGAGGUUGCUAGAAAUAAGAAUUCAAAAUCUAAGAUGAUCGUAUCUUAUUGUGAUAAGUUAAUCUCUCGUUUGAAAACUCAAAUUUAAGGAUAAAUGAUAUUGAUCACAUUCAGUUAAAAUUGAAAAUCAAAAGAAACAGCUAUAAAGGGUUGGGGCAAUGGAAGGGCGAAUGCCCAACUUGCGAACGACAAUUACGCAAAAAUACAAACAAAUAUAAUAAGUAAAAUACGGUAAAUACAAACACAAAUGGGGUUUUAGCCCAUGAGAAUAGAUCACAAACACAAAUAGGGUUUUAGCCCAUAAGAAUAGAUCACGCGAUUGCAUGAGUUACUGAGCGCCAAAACAAGAGCCGAAUUGAAAGCCUCCAAAGCCUAAACCCGCUGCUUAGGAUAGGAUCAGAAGAAGCAGGCUGGUUUGAGGGUCUCCGAUCCUUAGGAUCCAUCCCCUCGUACCACUUAUACACGUCAAAAUCAGCUACAAAUCGAUGUUUCGGACAUUGCUGGCUUUGUACCCAACUAAAUCUGAAGCUAGAGGCCAUCUUUUUGCGUAUUUGUUGCAUGUUCAUCUCACGCUUAGUGGCCCUCGCUUGCUUGACCUCAACCAACUCUUCUUUCGUGCAGCGUACUUCAGACGUCACAACAUCGCGAGCUCCCUUCAAACCUGAGAUCUCUUCCUCAUAUUCGUAAAGUCUAGCCUGACACUUUCUGACCUGCUACUGUUUAAGGCUGAGGGAUUCCAACCUAGCAGCCAGUCUAUCUGAUUUUUCCCUUUGAAGUAGAGCCAUCUGAAAACAACGGUAGGGUUAAAGGUUACAAAAAUGAUGAAACAUGAGAGAAUGAGAGAAUACCUUCAUAAGACAAUGAGAUUCAUAGGAGUCGACAUCGUCAUCGAGCAUUACCUCAAAGCGACUGGCAUCAUUAAGAUGAGUAAGCCUCUCACCACAGCAGUAGUGGCGUUUGCAUUACCCCAUAGAUCAUCGCCAAGGGUGACGAAACUCCCAUCUCUUUUUGUGAAUUCAGGCCUCCAAGCUUAAGAUGAAUUGUUGGAACCAUCGCCACUAGCCGAGCCGAAUGUGGGAGGAACCGAUUGCCAUUGCAUGGGUCUAAGGGUUGUGCCAAAGAUAGUCGGUGAACCACGCCUAGGCUUUUUGGGCCUAUCCGCCAGAGGACGUUUAUCUGACCUGCCUGCAAUUCUGGGCACUGGAAGAUCACGAUGAGGCGAUGCAAUGCAGCGGGGCAGUGGAAUGUUAGAAGGUGGUGAAGCCAUCAUGGGAGAAUAAUUCGAGUCAGAAUCUGUGUCUGUUUGCCCUGUCUCCUCAUCUUCUUCUCCUUUGUCUCCUUCUUCUAAGCCCUCUGUUUGGGAGUCGGUCAUAAGUAUGGGAGAGUCUAUGUUAAAUUGAAGCUCAAUAUCAAGAACAAAGAUAGAUUUAAGCAAGGGAUCUGGGGGCAACGACCGAUCGACUAAGCAAUACGGGAAGUAAAUGACAGAGUUGUGGAAAGAAAUGAUUUGAGUAAGAGUGCUGGCAACUUCUCUAGAGCUCCAUAUUUUCUUCGUCAUAAACUUCUUUAGCCAACACUUUUGACCUUUGGAGAUUAUUUGUUCGGGACCAUCCGAUAAAGCUGCAAAAGAAACUCAUGGUAAGUUAUGUUUACAUAUUUGUUGAAAAACUGAUAGCAAAAGUAAAUUUAUAUACCAGGUUUAGGACCAAAAGUAGAAUAGAUAAAUAGUUGAGACAGCUCGGGAGCCUUCCAGUUCCCCAAAAUCAGAAGAAGGUGGUUCUUCCAAUCUCUGUCUUUCGAGGGAUCCAAUGACAAGAAUUUCUUGCAAUACCUAGAUUUAAAAUUAAAGAAACUAGUUUCGCCCUUAAUGGUGGUUAAGUCGAAGAGAUAGAGGAAGUCUUUCAAACCUAAGGAUACGCCUAGCUUCAGACCCAAUGCCAGGAAGGUCGACAUAACCAAGUAAGAGUUCGGGUUCAGUUGCAUAGGGUGAGUAUUUGUGAAGAAUAAGAUGAGAUGAAUCAUGGGGUGGAGUGGAAAACUAAUGGUCCCCAAAUGGUCUAGAGACAAACGGUAGAUUGAAUUGGGAUACCGGAGCCCGAGUACAUGUCGGCUCCGGUGGGAAGUGGGCUGAUGUGCAUGUCAUCUGGAACGUGGCAUUGGUCACUAACCUUGACGAUUUCAAAGUGUGGUGAUACUCCAUAUUUAGACCAAUGUGUACGUCCUAACAUGAGGAACGGGAUGGGAGACUUGCCGGCCAAAAUUGAUUCGAGAAGACAAGAAGAGGAAUUUGUACCUAUAAACAUAAGUGGAAUGUUUGAAAGAUUCCCACAAGAGGAGUUUGAAAUGGAAAAAUUACUUGUAAGCCAAUAGGCCAAUCUGAAACGAGAAAUCAUAAACUUGGUGGAGAACUGAGCAAAUGAAGUGAAGAAAAGCAAGGAUUGGAGAAAUUCAAUUUAUAAGAAGAGAAAUGAGGGCAGUUUGGAUGUAAAUUUCCAACCCUAUAGGAUAGAUGAAACUCCAAUUUAGAGGACAAAAGCUAUAGACAACCUGAUGGAUGGGAUAGGACGUGAAAGUAAGGUGUCAUUUUCUCAUAUAUAUUUCAAUGUGUAGUCACCAUCUAGGUGACGGGAGACGUAGAUUUGACAACGAGAGCGAAAGAAAAAAGCUUGUUCCGAAGCACAUGUUCCAAAGUUAGAGAUAUGAAAUAUGUUGAGCCCAAGUAAUUACACACUAAUAUGUAUAUAUGUGUGUGUAUAGAGAGAGAGAGAAAGAGAGAGAGGGAGAUAUAUAUAUAAAGGUACGAAAAAGUGUGUACAGAGAUACGCAUGUUGGUGAGCAAAGAUAUGCACAUGCGUAUGUGUGUGUAAAUGUCGGUCGGUGAGCCUAUAUGUGCAAACUAGGCGUGCAGAUAAAACACACUAUGUGCAGGUGAACAGCCAGGCUUUGGAGCCACACAUAUAUACAUAUACAUAUACAUAUACUUAUACAUAUACAUAUAUAUGUGUGCAAACUAGGCGUCCAGAUAUGUGUGUAUACAUAUACAUAUACACAUAUAUAUAUAUAUGCGCGAGCGCACAUAUACAUAUAUAUAUACGUAUACAUAUACAUAUAUAUAUAUAUAUGUACAAACUAGGCGUUCAGAUAUAUGUGUACACAUAUACAUAUACAUAUAUACAUACACACAUAUAUAUACGUACAAACUAGGCGUCCAGAUAUGUGUGUACACAUAUACAUACACACACAUAUAUAAUAGGCGUCCAGAUAUGUGUGUACACAUAUACAUACACACAUAUACAUACACACACAUAUAUAUAUAUGCGCACGCGCGCGCGUGUGUAGAUAUAUAUGUGCAAACUAGGCGUGCAGAUAAAGCACACUAUGUGCAGGUGAACAACCAAGCUUUGGAGCCACACGUGUGUAUAUAUAUAUAUAUGUGUGUGUGUGUGUGUAGAUGCAGACAUGCAGGCUAGGUGUGCAGCUAUGUGUGAGGAGGAAACAGCAUUGUGGAUCGUACGUGUGAGAAGGAAACAAACUAGGUGUGCAGACAAGAUGGGAUAGAAAUUUAUAUAAUAAAUAUACAUAAAUAUAUGUAUGUCAGUCAAUUUUCGUAAAUCCUCAUUCGUGAGCCAAACAAAAGUGUCAGUCCACUUUCCUAAAUCCUUGUUCGUAAAUCAUACAAAGGUGUCAACUUUCAACUUUUGUAGAUCAUGUCAGUCCAUAAAUCCUCGUUCGUAAGUCAUACGAAAGUGUCAGUCCAUUUUCUUAAAUCAUAUGUUAGUCCACUUUCGUAAAUCCUCAUUCGUAAGUCACACGAAAGUGGUCCACUUUCGUAAAUCCACGUUCGUAAAUCAUACGAAUGUGUUCAGUCCACUUUCAUAAAUCCUCAUUCGUAAGUCACACGAAAGUGUUGGUCCACUUUCUUAAAUCAUAUAUUAGUCCACUUUCGCAACAAGGUGUCAACCCUCGUUCGUAAAUCAUAUUAGUCCACUUUCGUAAACCGUGGUAAGAUGUCAAUUGGCGUUCAUAAAGCAUGCAAAGAUCUCUGUCGGCCUUAACAAGUUAUGCAGCGGUCGUAAAUUAUGGUUUAGGCGUCAGUAAAUUUGGCCUUUGGAAAAAAUAACUUCUACAAAUUUGGCCUUAGCAAGAAAUGAUUUUAGCUUGGCUUAAAGAAUAUAGUUUCAAGGCCUCAUGAUCGAAAAAAUCAGUUUUCCCCUAUUUUACAUACGGUAAAAAAAAAGGAAAAGGGGGGCAUUGUGGGAGGAUAAAAUUCGGUUUCGACUCAUGGGCCAAUACCAAUCAUCUAAGGAGAAGGUGUUGUGCAAGAUAAACUGUGAGGAAAGCCCACAAGAAAAAUACAAACGCAAGGGAAACAUGUCUAGAUAACUACCCCUACAGACGCAAGGGAAAUGUGUCUAGAUAACUACCCCUACAGACGCAAGAGGAACGUGCCUAGAUAACUGCUCCCACUACGGAGGAGAAGUGGGAGAGGAAGAUAGGUGCCAAAGAACAAGGGACGUAAGGAGAACUCGAGAGAAACCAGAGAAUAGAAAAUCAAUUGCCUAACUUGACCGUCGGAGUAUCUCUUGCAACCCCACCCAGGCAAGCUAUGGAGGAAGACUAUUCGAGGACACCUCUAACGAAGGAUUCGGCGAACGUGAGGAUUGCGGACAACAAAUCUGUGGAGGUAUUUCUUCCCGUAGGAAAUUUCGCUCUAACAAUAACCUGAUUAGAAAUAUUUAACUUGCUCAAAUGCAUGUAGUAUUUACAAAUUAAUUUUCAUGUAGUAUUUACAAAUUAAUUUUCGAAGCAAACUAAGUUGUAAAUAUAUGUUCACAAUGAUACCUAGCAACAAACUAGAUCACCCGCCCGUACCUAGAGUGACUCUGAAGAAUGUAUAAAAAAAUGCAGAAAAUAGCAUUGGAAUGUCAAUGAACGAUCACUAUACCCUAAAAUUAUUUUUGUGUAGUUCAAAAAUCACAACAAUUUUGAUAAAAAUACAUACCAACAAUCAAAUUCACAAACUACAUACAAAUUUUAAGAUAAGAAAUAGCAAACAUACCUCCACAAGAAUUUCAGGCGAUGGAGAUGCAGAGAGAUUUGGGGAAGAUGGAGAGGAAAAGAUGGAGACCAAGAUCACUUCUCUAGCCACCAAAAUAUUAUGAAAAUAAAAAGACUUCUAGGUUUUUAACGUGCAAACCUAGAAAAAAUUGGUGAUGGCAAUUUUGAUGUUUUUUUCCAAGUGUAAUGACAUUUUAGACUUUGCAAAUUAAAAAAUAGGGAUAAUUCGGAAAUUGAAAAAAAAAUCAUUAAAGGAAGCAAAGUGCUUCCCUUGUUUUCUAUGCGUAGCACUUUUAGGAGGAAGCACCUAGGAAGUGCUUCUUAGAAAAUGCUUAUUAGUGCUUCUACUUUUAACUAAAAGUACUUUUAAAGUAUUUGCCAAACGAUCAUUUUUUAAAACUAAAGCGCUUUUACCCAUUAGGAAACGAUUUUGACUCUUUCAAAAGCACAACCAAACGAGCUAGGUGACAACCACCUAGAACGAUCUCGAAUUACCCCUCGACCUAGGCAAUUUCUUUUUUCUAGCCGCCACUCCCUGUGGGUGACAACCACCUAGAAUUCGAUCUUGGAAGAUGGCGGCAUGGACUCCUCUACCGUCCAUUCCAAGACCCCGACGACCAGCAACUUCAUACAUCUCUUUGAAGAAAGAAAAGCUGUGACUACUUACCAAGUUACUCCAACCAUUCAAACAUUGCAAAUUAAGUACUUUAUUAUAUGAUCAUAAUCUGAUAGUGUAGCUUUUUACGCCAACAGUCCAUAUAACAAUCAGCUUUCAAAUGUAUAAACAAUCUGUACACAGUCUAUAAUCCCUAUUAGCUGGGAUCAACAUAUAAAGCUGGUUACGAUAUGGAUGCUGCAAUUCUCAGCUAUUAAACUUGAGUAAACUCCAGAGCAUUUGCAUCCGGGUCUCGAGUGAAAAUCGCCGGCCUCCCGGACUUGCUCAGCGUGUAGGGGAUACCUGCAGUAGCAGAUAGCAGUAUAAGUCGCCCACAUUCCUUCCAUAGAUCAACAUCCGUCCGACAUGUUAUUGAAAAUGAUAUGAACUGCAGAUGAGGAAAACUAAAGCUUACCAGCAUCGUCGAGGAUUACUUUCAGCUUAGACACAUCCCGGAUUGCAAUACAAGUAUGGCGGUCGCGGCCUCCAUGCGUUGGUCUUCCGGUCAAAGGGUCGGGAUUUGGAAGUUCCAUGAGAUGAAUCAUCUCUGAACCAACCCAUAACCAAGCACCUCUGUAGGGGAGCUUAUCAUGUGGCCUUGCCUCAUUUAUUUCAAGCCCUAUUUUUUUUUUAUCCAUCAAUGAUGUCAAAUCAUGUACUUUUAAUAUGCAAGUAAAAGAUGAGAAUUUUGAAAAUUUUACCCAAAAUGUUCUGGUAAAAGCUGAGAGAUCUUUCAAGGUUUUCACACAGCAAUCCGACAUGGUGGACACUAACAACUCCAAAAUCUGCAUGAGAAUCAAAAGAUGAACAAGUAAGAUGCAUCAGAGAAUGCAUAUGCAGCACUACCAAGGAAAAUCUAAUUUAGGGUAACAUGAGCGACAUGCGUUUCUCCUUACAGACAAAUCACAGUUGAAACUUGACACGCAUACAAAAACUUGUCUUUCUGUGAUUCGAGCCAUAGUCUACAAUAAAGAGUGGAGAGGGAGCACACUGCUUCAAACUAACUUUUAGAGUAUUUUGUAACAUAUGUGUUAAACUGUGAUUUGUAGAUACAUAAGAAAGGUUGGUCCUUUCAUGUAAUGAGGCAACCAGUGUUCAAAACAAACAUGUCCCAAAGAUUGAGUUAAGCACGCAAAUUAGAGUGUGUGAAACGAUAUCACAUCAUGCAAUUAAAGUUCACUUUUUGUUUAAAUAGGAUGUUUUAUUCAAAACCAGUGUUCUAAAAAUCGGCCUAAGCAACGCCUAGGCGCUGGGCGGCGGAGCUCCAACUCGAUUUAGACCAAAACAUUCAAUUAGGCGGGGAGGACUUAGGCGGCCGCCUAGGCGCUCACUAGGUGGUGCUAGGCGGCCGUCUAGACGGUUUGAAUCUCGCUGCAAUUUUCACAACCGGAUCUACAACUUCCGAUCUCGUACAUAGCAGCAGAGCUUCAGGGAAUUUCUGUGUCUCUGUGAAGAUGAGGGAAGAGAGAGAGAGAGUAUUAAACAUUUCAAUCGGUGGUGGCGCAAGUUGGAUUUGAGAUCCAAUUUUGAGGUUCUGAAAGUGAAAGGCCGAAGAAGAAGAACGAAGAUGAGGCAAGAGGGAAGAUGAGGCAUGAGGGAAGAGAGUGCCAAGAGAGACUAAAAGAUUAGGUUAUGAAAGGGUAAAGAAGAAGAAACGAAAUUCAAAAGCUGGUGAUGGGUUCUUGGAUGAUGUGAAAGAGUCCGAUGGUUUUAAUUAUGAAACCACCCACUCAUCAGAUGGUUUUAAAUAUGAAACCACCCAUGGGUUUUUUUUUUUUAGUUUUAAAAGUUUGGGAUGUAUAUUAUAUGUAUAUAAAUGUUAUAUAAAUUAUAAAUUAUAAAUCAUUUAGAUAAUAUUUUGUUUUUUUUUCCUAGGCAAGCAUAUUAGAUAUGUACAUAAAACAUUCACAUAUGUAUGUUCUUCUAUAAGAAAUAACAUAUUAUUCAAUAAUUAUUUACAUCUGAUAUAGUAAAUUUAAUUAAUUCAUAUAAUAUAUAAAAAAAUUACCUAAAUCCGCCUAGGCGCUAGGCGCUAAACCACCGCCCGACUAGCGCCUAGCGUUUUUUAGAAACUUGUUCAAAACAUUGUACGAUCAUACAAAAAAUAACUUAAAAUGGUUCAUCCGAAACUCAAACGUGAAAUUAAAGGUUUUUUUUUUUAACAAACAAUAUUCUCUACGCAGGGAGGGGUGGGUUUAGCCUUACAAUAGGCUAGUAAUAAUGUAGUUCAAACCCGCCAACAAACUUAAGACCGCUCACUUACAAAGAAAAGAGGAAUAUCACUGGACUGUAGUACUAAGUGGCAUGAGGUUGGGGAUGCAACACGAAAUUGAAGUUCUUAAAACAAUAAACAACAACAACAAAGUUUUAUCUUACUAAAUUCGGCUGUAUGAACCUUAGAGCGUAACUACGCUCGAUUUUGCAUCAAGUUUUCCGUUAAGACCAAAUACUUCGUAUCUUUUCUUAAAACAACAAACAAUCACAAAAAAUUUAUCUUUAUUGCCAUGGAUUUUAUCAUUUUACAAGUCUCAGUCACACCAAAUUCCCAAAUUUCCAAGACCCAACUUAGAAGACAAUUUUUGGCAAUCAAAUAAAAGUGACCAAAGAAUAAGAAGAGUUACCAUUUUUGUCCUGAGCACCGACUGAUUGCUUCUCCAGUACAUCUUCUUCAACGGUCGCCUUAGCUUUCGCCACAGAACACCGUCCGUGACGCCUGCAACUUCUCAGACCGGUCCGGUCAAUUUUAGAUGAUGGGUUCGUAAGUAAAGUGCUGACUCUAAUCCCAUCUUCCUGCAAUCGAUCAAAUAAACAAAACCCAAAUUAAAUAAAGUAAAAUUAAAUCGUAAUCAUAAAUAAAUAAAAGAAGAAUGAAAAAUGCGUGAUAUAAUAAAAUUUACCUUGAGUUGGAGGGGAAGGGUGGGAGGUGGGAUGAGAAGGGAAGCCAUGGAAGAGCAGCUGCUCAUCUGGGUUUUUGUCUGUUUCUUGUGUUCUUUGUGGCCAGGCCCUCCCUACAGUUCCUACCUCGCAAUGUUUUUGCAGAUAUACUAAUAAAAUAAAUAAAUUAGAAAAUAUUAGAAAAAUCACGAGCCAUUACUUUAUGUUUUGGGGUUAUUAUUUUGGGAAUUGUUAUUAUCAUUUCAAAAAUCUCAUUUGGUACUUCAAAUUUUCUAUAAUUAGAAAAAUACAUUUGUGAGAAGUGUAAAAUGAGAUUUUUAGAGUGCUUAUAACAGUUCCCUCUUUUUUUUUAACAAAUGAUAUUAUGUAUGUUAAAAAAGAUGGGUGAGCUUAACCUCACAAUAGGCUAGCAAUAAUAUGAUUUAAAAUCAAACCUCAAACCUCUAAUUUACAAGUGAAGAUAAGUAUCAUUAGACCGUAAUACUAUGUAGUACAACACGAGGCCCACAUAAGCUUAGACCCGAAGGCAGCAGAAAACAGACAAUAAAAAAACCCUAAUCUCCAUCAACAAAGACUAUGUCGUUUUUGCCGUCACGUCCUCGGAGUAGGCCAAACUCCGAACAGAGAAAGUAGACACCAGAUCCAAUUCUCCUUCACGAGCCCUUGCAAAUAUAUACAAACAAAGUAUCAUAUGGGUAGAGGAUGAGGCUAAGGGGGUAUGUAAAAUACCCAACACUUGGCCUCAAUAGGGUUAUGGCAUAUGUAUGCCGUUUAGGGAGGGUAGGGAGUGAAGGAGGGAAGUGGAUUUGGUAUCCUAUUCCUAAUUGUAGCCCGCCUAUCCGAGUACAUGGUGGGGUGGGAUCACAACUAAGGAGGAAGGAUGACAGAAAGUUAAAAGACAGAAAACAGUAAAAGUAGGCAAAAGAUGCCGGAUAAGUGGCAAGAAGCCUAGAUCUAAAACAAGCUCUGGGAUAGUUGAGACCCAGCUCAGGAAAAACUGAGAUAAACUCAGAAAGAAUCAAGAAUAAAACAAAAGAAAGAGACUGGAAAGAUGAGAAGAAGAGAUGGAUGCAGGGAAUGGGUGGAGCAGAGGAAGUAAUGGGGGAGGAAAAGAAGAAAAAGGCAAAUGAGGGAAGGGGAGAAGAAGGGGAAGAAGAGGGAAGAAUGAGACUGAAAAAAUUAGGAAGUAGCGGGUUGCUACCUACCCCAAGCAAGAGUAAGGGUCGGCGACUGAAAGUUGAAGCCGAAUAAAAGGUUUAAAUCUGGGUUUCUAGAGAGAAACUGUGAGAGGUUAAAUUUCACAUUUGCCCCCCAUAAAGAAUUGAUUUUCCCACAUGAUGGCUUUUAAUUUCUAGGCUUGGUUCUAAUAAAGAGAAUAAUUUUUACAUGUCAUUUUCUUCACUUCUUGUCAGUUGUUAUGAUUGAUAUAGUAACAUAUAUAUGUCACUCAGUACUACGAUCUGAUAGUAUUUCUCUUCACUUGAAAGUGAGAGAUCUUAGGUUCGAAUCUCGUGAAUGGCGAAUUCGAUACCAAAUUAGGCUGCCCAUUGAGCAUAUUUGCCGAACUCCCCCUCUUCUUAGUGCAAAAAUAUCAAUGUACUCAAAAACAUAUAUGAUCACUUGCAAAACACUUGUAUAAUGUGAACACAUGUUUUAAAAAUAAUAAAUAAAUAAAAAAGAAAGGUACACCAAUUGUACUAAGUGCUUAAAGACAAGUAAUAUCACCGAGUUUCAGUAAAAACACAUAUUCUUCUUAAGGCUUAGGUAAACUCCUUGGGUUUAUAACAGGGGUGUGCUAUACAUACACCCCUUGAUAAUUUAUGUCCAUUGAUUUUCUUCAAUUCAUCCGAUCCGACGGUUGAAAAUUAAAAAGAUGUGUGAGAAGUAAAAUGGGGUGUGUGGAUAUCACACCCCUUAUAAUAAGGAAAACUAAAGAAAAUGGCUUAAAAACUUUGAGUUUUAAUGAUAAAGACAAAAUAAAUGGUAAAGUGAAUGGUACCAAGAUUGACUUUUUAGUGUAAAAAUGUGAUUUUUUGUUAAAAUGAACAGUACCAUGAGCUUUUCGUUAAAGUUCCCUUUAUAAUAACUUGUAAUAAUGUAGUACCUCACUCUUAAACUAAACAUGUUAUGGAUUGUAGUAUUGAUGAUUUACGUGUCACGAAAAUAAUAUUUUCAGAAAAUUGUAGCAAUGGUGAAAGACUUUAACUCAAUUGGAGUAAUAAUCUAUCAACUAAAUAUCCAUGACCAUUGAUCUAUUUACUUAUCAAAACAUGCAGUUAUAAUCUUUUUCGUCAACUCCGUUAAAACUUCCAUUAAAAUGAGUCACGUGCCAUGCACAUGAGACUGAAUUAAAGGGCAAAUAUAGGAGACUAAAUGAGAAAAAUUGGAGAAAUUAUCCCUCAAAUUUAACCCAAUUGGAGAAAUUGGUCCCUCAACUUUAACCCAAUUGGAACAAUGGUAUAUUAACUUUAACCCAACUGUAGCAAUAAUUCUUCUAAGAUGACUCAUUUUGACGGAGUUGAUGAAAAUGAUCAUAAUUGCACGUUUUGAGGAGUUAAGCGUAAGGAUGGGUUCAAAAAACCGAAAAAAAAACAAGCUGAACACCGAACCGAAGCCGAAAAAAACCGAACCAAACUAAGUGAACCAAACCGAACCGAUUUAUAUAAUUAUUUAAUAUAUAUUAAUUAUAUAAAUCAUAUAUAAAUACUCAAAACCUAGAGGCAAGGUGUUUCGAACUCCUUACCUCUUGGUUGAGAGUGUUUGUUUCAGCCAACUUGACAACAGGCUUUCUGUUGCUAAAAUUGUACUAGUAAAAUAUUUAUACUGAUUCUGGAUCUUUAAUUCAUUAUAAGAUUUCCAAACACAAAACCCUAGCUGCCCCAUUUACUCUCCCAUUUCAUCUACUCCUAGUUCUGUCUUCUUUGUCUUUCUCUCUCUCUCUCUCCCACCGUGGAGCCAUUGACCUUCUCGCGGGCGAUUCGCUCGAUGUGGAUGACCCAUUUGCGGCGGUGGACCUGGACGACCUUGCCCUCGUGGCUCUUGAAGGUCCCGCGAACCACAUGGGCCUCGUCUUCCUUAUGCACAGGGAACAAAGGUCGGAGGAGAGAGGCGCGCUCAUCAACACGCGGCACACGCUGGAUGGCGCGGUGAAGUAAGCCUUGCCGGCAUUGCAGGUUUGGUUCUGUUUUUGCUUUGUUUUUUCUGAAAUUUGCUUAUGCAUUCACUUUUACUUUGCUUGUUCUUAUGGAAGAUUAGUAUUAGUUCAUUUCAUAAUUUUGUAUCCGAAUAAACCAACAAGUCUCAAUUGUUUAUUUUCGAGGUUAAGUGAUGAAUUUUUGAACAAAAAUUUGCUGAUGUUGUUCUUGGAUUUGUCUAUGUGGUAAAGAUCUUUGGUUUUUGGGUAUUUACUCUUUAUUAAAACCCUUGGUUCUCGUCUGUUUGGCUGUGUUCGGACAGGUGCUCAUGGCUGGAUGUUGCAAUCGGUGAGGCAUCGGUUGGUUGGUGGCGGCGAGUGCUUCAAUGGAAGCCCAGUUUUUUUUUUUUUUUUUGUAUUUUAUGGCUUGGGCCUUUACCAUUUGUUGGGUCUUUUGGGCUAAAUUGGCAGGUCCCCUUUUGGGCUAAUUUACCAAUAUCCAGAAUUUUUUUUUUAAAAAGGAAAAAACUGAACCGAACCGGAAAAAACUGAAACUGAAAAAAACUAAACCGAAAAAAACCGAGGAAAAAUCAAACCGAACCGAACCGAAUAGUAACUUCGGUUUGGUUUUCGGUUUCGACCAAAAACCGAACCGAAAGGAAUCAAACCCACCCCUAAUUAAGGGACCAAUAAUUAUAGAUUUUUUGUUAAGAAAUUAUUGCUCUAAUUAAAUUUUAAUCGAGAGAUCAUUACUAUAAUUUUGUAAUAUUUUUAUGUUCAUAUCUCACUCAUCGUGACACGGUAAGGUCCUAUGUCCGUGCCUAAUUUGGUUAAUUAUGAAUAAAAUUGUAUUGCCAUUGAAAAAUAAUUAUAACAAUCUAAGAGCUGGCUUUUCAACCACUUGAUAAAAAAAUAGAGACUAAUUUAUAUGGGUAUUUUAAUUAAUUAUAAGCCUGAUAUCAUAUCACAAAUAAAUUGAAAGUCAAUAAUUCCAAAGGGAAGAAGACUAUAAAAUCUGUUGACAAUUGACAUGCAAGUCAAGCUGCUAAUAAAACAAUACAAAACUCAAAAACCUAUGGGGGAUGGCCAGCGAAUGAGAUCAUGCUUUAGUCCGUUACUAUUUUUUUAGGGAAUUUUAACGAAAAAUUUACGAUACUAUUUAUUUUAAUAAAAAAUUAUAUUUUUAUGCCAAAAAGUUAAUUCUAAUACUAUUCAUUUUACCUUUUAUUUUGUCCUUAUCAUUAAAACUUAAAAUUUCUAAGUCUUUUUCAUUAAUUUUUUUUAUCUCUAUUGAAAAUGUUGCAAAUUUGAAUUAUAAAUUACUUUAACUUACGAAUUCAAUCUCAAGUGGAAUGAGACGGUCAAACUAAUAUAGCGAACUGGCGUUUGAGUUAUUUGAUUUCAUUUUUAUAUUUUUGGUGAACCGUGUUAGAUUGCAAAAUAAUUCACGCUAAAUACAUGUAAAUAAUUAUGGUUAUAAUUUAUUUGGGUUGCGAUUGCAAUGUUUUAAGUCGACAUGUAAAAUGUCAAACAGCCGAUGAUGUAGGUGUGUGAGGCCCCGUUUGGGAUUGAGGUGAUUUUAAAAAAAGCCACUGUGAAAAAAAGCUGAGGGUCAUUUUUGUGUUUGGUAAACUGAAAAAAAAAAGCUUAUUUUGGAAGCUGCUGUGAAAAUAAGCUGAAAAUCAAAGGAAAAGCUGAAGCUGCUAUUUGCUGCUUUGAAAAAAAGCCAGUUUUUUCAAAGCACAUGGAGCUACAGUGCUCCUUUAAUGAAAAGACACACUAUCAUCCUGCUUUUUUUUUCCAAAAGCACUUUCACAAAAAAGUUUACCAAACACUCUACUGGCUUUAUUUCACAGCCGCUUAUUCUCACAGCACAGCCGCUUAUUCUCACAUCAGCUUUUUUUCAAAGCACAGCAAUACUAAACCAGCCCUGAGUCACGGCGUACGUACCGCAUGCUAGUCUUCAAACAUGUACCGUUUUGUUCUUCUUUCAGACUUGUACUUAAAUAAUUAUGUAACUAUCAAUCACAUGUAAUUUUGAAAUUAACAACGUUGACCAAUAGCUUUUGGGUCAAUGUGAUUAAAAAUAAGCCACUUUAAUCUUGGAAAUAAAUCGAAGUCUAUAGAAACUAAAAGCUAAAGCCUAGAGAGAAAGAACUUCAUUAAUAACAAAGAACAUGAAUUUCAGUUUCCAAAAAAAAAAAAAAACAUGAAUUUCAUGUAAAAGAAAUCCUAAGCAGAUGUUUUUAAAGUGGAAAUCUUCAAUGAUUUUCUGUUAUUUUAUAGUUUAACAUUUUUCAUGUCAGUAUUAAAAAAAAUAUUAUGCUAAAUUUAACAGUGACAUGCAUUUAUUAGUUAAAUGGCAAAAAAAAAAAAAUUACUGAAUUUAGUUUUAAUAUAGUAGUUCUCAGACAUAUCGGAGUGUAGCCAAGUUGGCUAGAAAAAUGUACUUCCUCUUUUGUAAAUGAGUAAUGCUAGGUAAAUGAACUUUUUAGACCAAAUUUAUAAAUCAUGUGAUGUGUCAUUGAUAGUAAAUAAGCACAUUAAUCAAUACUUAAUAAUAAUCCAAUUAUCAACAUUCACGUUAUAUGGAUUACAAAUUUUAAUUUAAAUAGUUAGUCUCCCUAGCAUUGCUCUUUGUAAAUAUCUUAUUCUCCUUCAUUCAUAAAUUAGAAUUGGGUAGUGCUAUCCACCCAUCCAUUUUUUUUAAAUUUAUUAUCAUUAAGGGGAUGAAAAGAGUUUAAAACUAUUACAAUAAAUUAGGAGAGGAGAAGUUUCAAACCUGGAACAUAUUGGUAGAAACACAACAUCCUAUCCAUUGGUGAUGUAAGAGGAGCCAAUGGGUCUUGGGAAGACGAUGGAGAUAGAAACCAGGGGAGUCACUCAACCAACUGCAUCAAUUAGAAUAUUGGACCACUUGCAAACAUACUUAUUUCUACUUCUUACAUAGCACUCUCAAUUUUCAGUCGUUGGAUCGAAUAAAUUGAAGAUCAACGAUAAAAAAAUAAUAAAGAUAUGUGAAAAAAUAAAAAUAGAUGUGUAAAUAGCAAUUUUAGUUAGAAUAUCGCUUUAUAAAAAACAAGAUAGCUCCCUGUUUCACUUACUGGUAGUUGUUUUUAAUGGUUCGAAAUUGUUGGUUGUAAAUAAAAGAGAAGUUGACUAAAACAAUCUCAAAUAAAAAGUAAAAAGUGAAAGUAAAUUGUGAGGUAGGGUUUCAUUAGAAUGGAUCGAAAAUCCUUUUGUGUCAGUACUAAUUCGUGCAGAUGACGUUUUAACGGCACCGUAAUAACGCUCAUUUAUAGUACAUUGUAAAAAGAUGAUGGUUGAUGGUUUUGUCCUUUAAUUUUAGGAUAAUUCGGUUCCCAACCCUCAAUCUUUUGAAAUUAAUCCCUUUAAACUUUUAAUACGAAAUAACUAGUUUGUCCCUUUAAAUUUUAAUUUAUUUAUGUUAAACACUUUUUUAACCACCACCAAAUGUCAUAUUUAAUAACUAAACCCACUCAUCAUCAUUUUUUUUAAGCUCUCAAACCUAGUAUUUUCCAUUAUUGAACGAAUCUAAACAUGAAAUCGUCUCUUGAGUAUCCAAAUGAGGCACAGGUUGAUAAUUUUUUAUUUCUCAUCAAAUUUUUAGAUUCAGACACCAUGAUAAACGCCUAACUAAAAAUAGAGGAUGUUCGGUGCAAAAUCCCUAUGGAUAUAACAUUAAUAUUCAUCAUUUAUCCACGUCAAUUUUUUUGGCUUAGUUAAUUAAAUUUUCACGUUACAUCAAACUUCCCUAAAAAAAAAAAAUUAAAACCCAAUCUUGAGUACAUUUACUCGAUACCUCAUCGCUUGCAAAUGAUUACAUGUAGUGAGCGUUUACUGAAUAGUUUAGUUGGAAGCCUUCCUUUGCGCAAAAGAUUCAAAUUUUCUCACAAUCCCUAAUGGCUUGCAAAUGAUUACAUGUAUUCAGAGUUUAGUUUAUAACAUUUUUGCUUUUACCGUUACAAAUUCCAUAAAAUAUUAAUACCGUAAAACAAAAGAUCCAAAACAGUUUACUGCAAACCUUCUUUGGCGCAAAACAAUUAAACUAUUUUCAUAUUCAUUGCUUGCGGAUGAUCACACGUGUAUUCAAAGUUCUCUCAAUAACCCUACUAAUUUUACCGUUACGAAUUCUAUAAAUAUACGUACAACAAAACCUGAACAAUUUAAUUCAAAAACCUUCUUUGGCGCGAAACAUUCAAAUUCACUCGAUGCCUCAUCGUUAGCUUGUAAACGACUACAGUCAUUCAAAGUUUACGAACUAGCUUUUCACAGAUUUCAUUGAGAAGGAAAACUCUGAAGCAUAUCCAAAACACAAAAUAGUGAAUCUUUGGGGGAGCUUUUUGGCAACAAAAGUCAUUUAGCAAUUGAGUACAAGCAAAGUCACUAUUUCACUUAUUCUCCCUCUUUUUCCCUCUUUCCUUCUUCCUUCCCCCAAAACGAAACUUCCCCAUUUCCUUCCCUCCCCACUUCCAAAUUCCCAACGUCAAUACAAAAAACCACCGUCCCCCCAAAAUCCCAACCGCGUAAAAGCACUCGUCCAAAAAGGUCAAGUCUCAGUCAAAAGGUCCCCCACUCCGCGUUCACACCUGCAUACACGCCUCGCACAGAUAUAAAUAUGCCUCCCCUCCAGUUCAACUCCUCCAGCCGACAUCUCCAUAUCUACCAGUUCACCUCCAAGCUCGAAAUUCAAGUUCACACAGGCAUUUCAUCAAACACCUUUCAUCCCACCACCAAAGUUCAGACCUUUCAUGGAAAUUACUCCGUUCCCAUUACUUAGUCAAGAAGAUGACUCCCAUUUCUAUACCCUGUUGUCUGACAUGGACGAAUUCGACAUAAAUGGCGGGAAUCACACCCUGAAGAAGCGGAGAAAGGACGAUGGAAACAACCAUGGUGGCGGCGCUGGAGCUGCUCCGGGGGCAAUGAGCGACAUACUUGCCUCGCUGAUUCUGCUGGACGAGGAGGAGAAGCUGGAGCAGGAGAGCUACUUGGUCGAAGCCCAGCAGGAAAGAUCGAUGCUUGAAGAUAAUCACAGGCAGAAGACUCGAGCUAUGGAGGAGUACUACUCUGAUAUUCAGCAGCACCAUUCUCAAUCCGACGAAUCGGACCUGUCUAGGGCGAAACGGAGUCGACAGUCCGCUUCCGCUGCGGCCGCUGCUGCAGCUGAGGCCUCCGCGGCCGGUCCGGACCCGAGUUCGAGUGCUAUGAUCCCGGGUCCGCACCGGAGGCUUUGGGUGAAGGACAGGCCCAAGGUGUGGUGGGAGAAUUUGGGCCGCCCAGACGUUUCGGAGGAGGAGUUUCGAAAAGCUUUUCGGAUGAGCAAGGGGACGUUCGACAUGAUCUGCGCGGAGCUGGAGUCGGCGGUUUUUAAGAAGAACACAAUGCUGCGCGAGGCAAUUCCGGUGCGCCAACGCGUGGCGGUGUGCAUAUAUCGGCUUGCCACCGGGGAGCCGCUCCGGGAGGUUUCGAGACGUUUCGGGCUGGGAAUCUCCACCUGCCACAAGCUGGUUCUGGAAGUUUGCGUUGCCAUCAAGACUGUCUUGAUGCACAAGUUUCUCCAGUGGCCGGACGAGGGCAGGAUGCAGGAGAUCAAGGAGGAGUUCGAGGCCACUUCCGGAAUUCCAAAUGUUGCUGGGUCUAUGUACACCACCCACAUAUCAAUUAUUGCUCCAAAGGUGAAUGUGGCUGCGUAUUUCAACAAGCGGCACACGGAACGCAACCAGAAAACUUCGUAUUCGGUCACGGUUCAAGGGAUUGUCGAUCCGAGAGGCGUUUUCACCGACGUUUGCAUCGGCUGGCCGGGUUCGAUGCCGGACGAUCAGGUGCUGGAGAAGUCUGCAUUGUUCCAGAGAGCAAACAGAGGACUCUUGAAGGAUGUGUGGGUUGUGGGAAAUGCUGGGUUUCCACUGAUGGAUUGGGUGCUGGUUCCUUACACCCACCAGAACUUGACGUGGACCCAGCACGCAUUCAAUGAGAAAAUCGGAGAAGUGGAAGGGGUGGCUAAAGAUGCAUUUGCAAAGCUCAAAGGGAGGUGGUCUUGCUUGCAGAAGAGGACUGAGAUCAAGCUGCAGGACUUGCCUGUUGUGCUUGGGGCUUGCUGUGUUUUGCACAAUAUUUGUGCAAUGAGGAAUGAUGAGCUCGAUCCCGAGUUCGAGUUCGAGCUCUUCGACGAUUUGGCAACGCCGGAAAAUAGUCUGAGGUCGGCGGGAUCGGUGCAGGCGAGGGAUCAUAUUGCUCAUAAUUUGUUGCACCAUGGCCUUGCUGCAGGCACCGGUUCUGGUUUUCUAUAGGGGGGGGUUUUGAGUUCAGCUUUUGUUCUAGUCAUAUUAUAGAGUAAAAGAUGAUACAGAGAUAUAUGUAGUUUGGCUUUGUUUAGCUUUGUGUAUAUAAGCAUUUACCCACCUUCUGUCUAUUUAUCCAUUCUAAAUAUAUUUCCUUCUUUUUUGCUAUCUGAAAUUCUAAAUCUGAUUUUGAAGUUUGAGCGACCAUAAGACUAGCUGAGACCUUUUAUUACGUUGUUGAAGGUGAAAUCUGUCGUAUCACUAAAUGUAUAUCAUUGUGAUUGUGCUUCUUUCCCUCUGAUUAUGAAAUUUGAGCGACUAUAAAGCUAGUCAAGAUUUUCAUUUAUGAUUCAUUGCCGAAGAGAUAUUUGUCGUGUCACCAGACACCAACUGACAUUUUUAAUUAUGUUGUCGACGGAAAAGUUGAUGUAUCACUAGUUGUAUAUAACUUUGUACCUAUCUCUUUAAGAUGCACGUUUGAGCAAUAUAACUAGAUAAGAUUCUUGAUUAUGUUAUUGAAGAGGAAAUAUGUCAUAUCACAAAUUGUAUAUAAUUGUGCACCUAUCUCUUUUACUCGAAAGUUUGAAUAACUAUAAUCCUACUCAAAAUUUUCAAAUUAGGUUGUCAAGAGACAAUUUCUUGUAUCACCGGUUGUAUACAACCUAACAUCUUUCAUGUCACGUGCUUGAUCACUUAUGUUACCAAUUGUGUACAACAUUGCAUCCUUCUCGUAUUGUGCUCAGCUGUUCAUGUUUCGAGAGAUAGACACAGAAAAAAAAAUCCAAUGGAAGAUAAGUAAGAUUCUUCCCGUUGUCAAUCAUGUAACUUUUACUUCUUGGCCAUAUCAGGCUAUUAAACUAGGCAGGCCCCAAAAUACCAAGUUCCACAGAAUUUGUGAUGGCGCAUCAUAAAUUCCUAAUUUUCAACCUUACAAUCUCUUUUGCAGUCAUAGGUUUUAUCAACUCUUUGUCCAACAAACUGAUUGCAACGCGGUUUCCCCUACUUUGUCACAACAACAAUUAUGGUUUGUGUUGCUCCGCCCCCACUUUCCUCUCACCUUUGAACUAUUUGCUUGCCUGGUCUCCUCUGCUCUUUGACUUUAACCAACUCUUUCUUGGCAAGUUGGCGUUGAUGGGGGAGACUACAAGUCUAUUUUAUCAACUAAUUAAUCACCUUCACUAUAUUUUUCUAAUUUCCAUUAGUCUUGUUUCGGGUAGAAUCGGCUUUGUAACCGGUUGUUUGUUCACUUAUAUCGUGAUGAGAAAGACAAAGAUAUCAACCGUGGAUCGGUAAGAGUUUCUGCUUGUAGUUUAGGGAGUGGUGGAAACCUUGUUGUGAGAUGUUUUUGGCCAGUUGGAUUUUUGCUAGUCUGCAUUUUGAAGUCGAUUUACAAUAUCUGAGUCUUUCAAUACAUUUGCAGCAAUCUAACAGAGCUUCUCUGUUUUUGCUUGAUUAUCAUUUACUGAAGAGAAGAUUAUCAUUAAGAAAGUAAAAUCUAUAAAACUAAUUAUAAACAUGGUAACAUCAAGGCACAAGUAGAUUUUUCUCUCUAAUUCGGAAAUUAAUUUGGUGUCUCAGGUGUAUACACUUUUGUGUCGAUCUUUCUCCUCACUUACGUAAUCAAGUUGAUGAGCGAGAUGACACAUAGAGACAAAGGUGUAUACAUUCCUUUUGUGAUGAAACAGAUAGAGAUGGAGAUGGUGUGUACAUUUCUUCCGUGAUGAUAUAGAUAGAGACAGAUGUGUACACAUUCCUUCCGUGGUGAUAUAGAUAGACACAAAGGUGUAUACAUCCCUCUCAUGAUAAUACAAAUAGAGACAAAUGUGUAUACAUUUCUUUUGUGAUGUUACAAAUAGACACAAAAGUGCAUACAUGCCUCUCGUGAGGACGCAAACAGAGAAAAAAGUGCAAUACAUUCCUUUCAUGACAAACAUAUAAACACAAAUGUGCAUACAUUUCUCCCGUGACGAUACAGAUAGACACAAAGGUGUAUACAUUCCUUCUGUGACAAUACAGAUAGACAUAAAAGUAUAUACAUUUCCCCCGUGAUGAUACAGAUAGACAAAAAUAUGUAUACAUUCCUCCACAAUGAUACAGAUCGACACAAAAGUAUACAUUCCACCUGUAAAGACAAAUACAUAUGAACGGACACGCAUAUACAUCCUUGACAUGCAAGUUAUAACAUUUUGGAAGCAUUUCCAUUACCUCCCCUAAUUCAUGAACCAUCAUGUUUUCCUUUUAUUAAAUGACUCUCAUCAAGAAAGUUCAUUGCACCUGCAAAAUGUUUGGUUUCAAAUUCUACUCUGGCAAUCUCCAACCAUAUUGACAGAUUGGAUUUCUUUCAUUAGUGAGGCAGCAGAUAAGACUACGACAGCUAAAAACUGUGCAGAUUUAGUCUUUCACUUCGAAACCUGCCUACCAACAACUGUGAAACAUUUGAUUUCCAUUUUUAGAAAUUUCUCAAGUGCAUCUUUUCACACGUGAAUUUUUCUUUUCGAGACUUUCACAUAUGGAAAUCUUGUGCUGCCAUUGCAGCAUUAAGAACAUGAAUUUACAAAUCACUUUCUAAGUAUAUGACUAAUUAUAAUUUUUUUUUCUUUCCAAAAUAUGAUUAUUUGUCAAUUAAGGAAUAAAAUUUGGUUAAUUCCUUUUGUUUAAUAUAAAGAGAAUAUAUUUAGUUGUAACAUGCUGUACCACCUGAGAAAUGCCACCCAAGAGAGUCCAACUGUAGGAACCCAGGAACAGCCAACUGGACAUGGACACGUGUCAGACAGACAAAUUAGACGUUGGUGGAGAGAAAUAUAAAAAUUGGUUGUAGAAGCUGUUUUUGGAGGGGUCUCGUAUUCUCAUUCGUCCCGGGGUUUUCGCUUCGUUGUCACUCGUCACAAUCAUCCAAAUUUCUCAAGCCAUAGAGAGAGGUAGAGAGGGAGAGGAUGGAGAACCAUAAGCAGAUGGAGAGGGACGAGGCGGGGCCCAUGGCGGUGGAGGCGGCGGAGGAGGAGGAGAACGGGCAGGUGGGGUCCAGCCUGACCCUGGAGAGGGUGGCUGCGGCAAAGCAGUUCAUAGAGAGCCACUACAAGGCUCAGAUGAAGCACAUCCAGGACCGUAAACAGAGGUAGGGAAAAAAGACAUUUCCUUUUGUUGAAUUUACUGUUUUUAAGGAUCUUUCUGUCUUGCCCAGUUCUUGUUUUUGCAAUUUCAGCUGGUGUUUUUGCGAUCAGAAUUGUUUUUUAUUCUGGGUAUUUGAUUUUUUUCUUUUGUUUGGAAUGGAAAGCCUUGAUUUUCCUGAGAAAUGACGGUGUUUCUUUGACUGCCCUGGAAUUGCAUUCCUGGAAAGAGUUGGAAUUUGAUUGGUUUUUUGGGAAAUGGGGUUCAUUGGAAAUUCCCAAAUCAUUGUGCUUUUGGAAUGCAUAUGCUUUCAUGAAGUGGAAGUAAAUAUUGUUAAGUUAUGCUUAUCACCAAGUCGAAUUGUGUUUAGAUUUUUUCUACCAGGGGAGCUAAUGAUGAUAGCAACCUUAUAAGGAAUAUCAAACAUGAUAAGAUGUUGGGUGCUGAUUUUGCAGAAUGACAUUUGCAAAUUAGUAAAGAACUGCAUAGUGAUGAAUAAUUAUAGUUUUGAGGCUUCGUAAUUAUAUAAUCCGCAAAUCCUUAGUUGGAAAAGUAUUUUGUUAUUGGUUUGUUAUGACUUUAAUCACCUUAGAAGAACUAAACUGGGUGCAACUGUGAACAAAUUGAGAAAGAUAUUUAUUGUGCAUUAUUUGGCAGUUGACUGUGUGAUUGAGCCCCUUUGGUUUAGCAAUAAGCGAGAGACAUGUUUCAUAACAUAAAAUGGGUGGUGGUUGUCAUUGGUUCUUUAUGGAUUGUUUGGAUUGUUUCUCGUUUGUGUUUUUUUCAUGCCAUUCCAUCAGGUAUAAUUUGUGUUAAUAUUUCAACUUGUGCAUGGUAGAGUCACUGGAAGAGACUGCUGAAAAAGCUAAAAUGUUGAGUUCUUAGGCAAUAGAAUCGCCUGUUAAUAUGGUUAUUUCUGCAGUGUUUUUCAUCAAUGUUAUCUUUAAUGCCUGGUCUGUUCUGUUUCCAGUGUCCAUUAUGGCAGUUUUACUUCAAACACUGUUGCAUUCAUGCCACAUAAACUUUAUAUCGCUAGUGCUGAAUAUGUUCUUGUUUUUUUAUAUGUUUUUAGAGUCCACUAGUUGUGAUGUGCCUCCACCACUGGUAAUUAAAGUGAAAUUGGCAAUGGUUAGAGGAUAAAGGUUCUGUCAUUGAUCUUGAUAUGUGCCCUCAAAUGUGUUCAUUGUUUCCAGGCGCUCGGUGCUGGAAAAGAAGUUGGCAUCUGAACAUGUACCAGAGGAGGAACAGAUCAAUUUGUUGAAGGAUUUGGAGCGCACAGAGACUCAAUACAUUCGCCUUAAAAGGCACAAGAUUUGUGUAGAUGAUUUUGACCUUUUGGCCAUAAUUGGGAGAGGGGCCUUCGGAGAGGUAGAUAUAUGCAUCUCUUAUAACUUGCAUGGGUGCUAGGUUUAAAAGAUUUUUAUUUUCCUUUUCAACUUAUUAAUAUACAGAGAAAGUGAGUAUAAGCUUGUUUCUGUUACCCUUGACCUCGAGUUGUUUACUGUUACAGUAUGCUGAUUACUUCUAAAACAAAUAUGAUGGUUAUUUGUUUCAUUUUCUUUGUUGUAGUUUUUUUCUUUGGUUUAUGUUUGAUAAUUUCUUGAUACAAUAUUUCUAUUAAUAUUUUGCAGGUUAGACUGUGCCGGGAGAAGAAAUCUGGCAAUAUUUACGCCAUGAAAAAGUUGAAGAAGUCAGAAAUGCUCAGUAGGGGGCAGGUAAUUAUAUUGCACAUCAAGAAUUGAUUUAAUUUUAACCUCUUUUACCUUAAGGGAAAGAGAAACUUCGAUUUAAGGUUCUCAAAUUUUCAUCCAUUACUUCUAGUGUAAAUCUUGUACUCACUGGUUGUCUAUCCACAAUGUAGGUUGAACAUGUUAGAGCUGAAAGGAAUUUGCUUGCAGAGGUUGCCAGUCAUUGCAUUGUGAAACUUUACUAUUCCUUUCAAGAUGCUGAAUACUUGUAUCUAGUCAUGGAAUAUCUACCUGGUGGUGACAUGAUGACUUUGCUUAUCAGAGAAGAGUCUUUGACUGAAACUAUUGCUAGAUUUUACAUUGCGCAAUGUGUUCUGGCCAUAGAAUCUAUUCACAAACAUAACUACAUUCACAGGUUGGUUUAUCCUUUUGGUCACAGGCUUGCCAACAUUGGAAGCUGCAUUCUGUUAAAGUUUGUUAUAUUAAUAAAUGGUACAUCAAGAUAACAUAAUGUAACUCUUGCAUUUGCUACGUCUAUGUUUUUUUUUCAGAGACAUAAAACCAGACAAUCUUCUGUUAGACAAAAAUGGUCACAUGAAGCUUUCUGAUUUUGGUCUUUGCAAGCCUCUUGAUUGCUCAAAUUUAUCUUCCAUAAAUGAAAAUGAAGUGCUUGAUGAUGAGAACCUGCAUGAGACAAUGGAUAUUGAUGAAUCCUUCCCAGAAACCAAAAAUGGGAGGCGCUGGAAAAGCCCGCUUGAGCAACUUCAGCAUUGGCAGAUAAACAGGAGAAAAUUGGUAGUCAAAUGAUCCUUUCCUUUAUAUUCUAAUGUGGAAUUUCACCUCUCUUACAGUCUUACUCUUAGAUUCUUGACUGGAUAAAGUGCAAGCAACAAACAUUUGCUAUUUGUAUAUAAUUAACACUUUGUAGAUUUAAGAUGCAAUGUUUAAUGCCAUUUCCUUUGUUUCAAUGGUAGGCAUUUUCUACAGUUGGAACUCCAGAUUACAUCGCUCCAGAGGUAUUGUUGAAGAAAGGAUACGGCAUGGAGUGUGACUGGUGAGUCCACGAUGUUGGAGCAUUAUUGGAUUGUUAUAGUAGCUAAAAUAUGUGUGAGCAAGUUCGUUUGUGAAUUCUAUUUCUCACCCAAUUCCUGCUUGUAGGUGGUCACUUGGUGCAAUAAUGUAUGAGAUGCUGGUUGGUUAUCCUCCAUUUUACUCUGAUGAUCCAGUCACAACAUGCAGAAAGGUUACGUAGUCAGCAUAUAUUUUGCUUAUAUUUUCUGAUUCAAGUGUAUACUAUCUCAUAGUUUUCAUUGUUGCAUGGUUUUCACAAUAAUUAGACUGCGGUAAGAUUAAUUUCAACAUAACUCGCCAGGUUGCGUUUGUCUCACAUGUUUUUCUCAAGAAAGUUGAAUUUACAAAUUGUUUCUGAAGCAGUAACAUUUGCGGAGUUCUACAUUUCUUACUGAAGUUUUAUUGAUAUAUUCAUAUCUCGUGCAUAACCUGACAUAUGGAAGAAUGUAUGCAGAUUGUACAUUGGAAAAAUCACUUGAAAUUUCCUGUCGAGGCAAGGUUGACACCUGAAGCAAAGGAUCUGAUUGGUAGGUUCCUUUGCGAUGUUGAAAAUAGACUUUGUAGAGCAGACCAAAUUAAGGUAUUUCCCCUCUAUUUCCGAUGACUUUUAUGGUUUUACCCUCACAUUGUUACGCCAUUCUUAAUGAAAUAAGUCCUCGUAUUUUAAAUGGAUCAGGCUCAUCCUUGGUUUAGAGAUAUUGCAUGGGACAGACUUUACGAGACGGAGGCAGCAUUUAAACCAGAGGUCAAUGAUGAACUUGAUACUCAAAACUUUAUGAAGUAUGAUGAGGUAAGGUGUCAAAUAUACUCCUGUUGGCUUACUGCUCACGAAAACAUCCAACCUAUACUAGUCGCUAGUAGUGAGGUACUGGAUUGUGCCCUUGUGUCUAAAAUUCAACUGUGCUGCAGGUGGAUCCACCAGCACCUGGAAGAACUGGAUCUGGACCAAUGAGAAAGGUAUGUUUCUCAUAGCCAAAAGAGAACGGAGACUUAAAGUGGCGCAAUGUCAAUUCAUAAUCUGGUGAUGGCUUUUGUAAUGUAAACGUGUAAAAGGGUACAUUUUGACAUACUAGAUUAAUAAAACAAAUUUUCUUUAUAUUUUUGGGGGUUUGAACUUAUCUAAAAUAUCAACUAAUCUUUUUUUGGAGGCCCAGUGUGCUUAUUUUCAUGAUCUUGUAUGAAGGAACAUUUUUACUCUUGGAGAAGGGAAAACACGGAAAGAAAAUUUGUGUUAUAUUAGUUUUGAUUUAUGUAAAGUAGUUUCCGUGACACUUUGUGCUUGUUCUGUAUCUUUCUUUGCAGACGUUGUUGACUCCUAAAGAUCUCAGUUUUGUUGGCUACACAUACAAGAAUUUUGAGGCUGUCAAAGGGUUGCAUCAUUCAUCUGGUAUGCAUUGUACCGCAGUACAAUUUUCUUCACAUCUCUUUUUGCCUUUGUCUUUCUAUGCGCAAUAUGCUACCAAGUUUUAAUUUAAUGAGCAACUUCAUCUGCUAAAUUUCCUGGAUUAUGCUCAUUACUGUUACAGAUCUAAAGAGAAGUACAUCGCUGAACCGGACAUCUGUUGACUCUUCUCAAAGUAAUAAAUCCUGACCCGAACUGGUCUCAUUGACUGUAAAUUUUGUUUGUAAUGUGCCUGUAAUAAUUGACUGUGUACCUGUCCAGGUGAUUCUGUACUGGACUACUCCACUAAGUAUUCCUCGUACGACAUGGAAGCUCAGGUACUUGCUGCAUCAGAGGAUGUCAUGUCAGAGUGACUCGUAGCAUCUAGUAUGACAGGCGGAUAGAGCCCUUCUAGGAACAUGCUGGGCGCACCUGCUUGUUUUUUCCGGUUAGGUUUUCACCCACAUGAUCAACACAGUUGACAGCUACAUCUUGCAGAACAGUGUACAGUAGUAAUGUUGAAGACGCUUCAAGAUGACCCGUUGGAUGGGUUGGUUUUGUAGGAGUAGUACUAGUAGAUCUUGAGAGCUUUUUGUAUCCCAGUAGGUGUGAGAGUUUUGUCAAGGUCUUGGCUACCCAGGUUGGCAUUCAAAAUGUGCCUUCACUUGUGGCAGUUUUUGAUCUUUCUUCUCUUGAUUGUCUAUAGAAAAUUAUGGUUGCCGAAACAUGAAAAAACUGAGGUUUUGAGUCCUAAAUUUGAGGAUGUUAUUGAUGUUGAAAUCUUAUAGUCCCAUAUCUUCCCAAUACUUAUAUCUCUUAUUUCAUAUAAAAUUGAUUGCAGCUGAGUGCAGUUUGGCUUCUUUAUGCCCUUUUUUUUUCCUUUCUAGGAAACCUCGACGGUACGAGAGAAAAACUUUUCCCCUGUCCUCAAUAUAUAACUUUUUUUUUUACCAAAUCGUAGAUAACCAAGAUUCAAUACAACAAUCGCCACCAAAAGGCUUUUCUUUUGGAACAAAACAAACCACCAGACUAAUGCAAAGAGUGGCGGGAACUGACACACCCCGUCCCGAAGGAGGGCAUGCUGGCCGUCACGUGAGAGUGACGUAACCAUUUGCACAGUACGGAAGCUUUAAGAUACAAUUUAAAUUGAUACACCCGAAGGUGAGUCCUAAUUUGUCCAAUCUGUCAGAACACCGUCGAAUUCCUCGUAGUCACCACACCUUUGUGAUUCUUGAACCUGGAGGGGCGCAAAACCAAAAUUGAGUGGGUCAGUAAAACAAUUCUUUUCCAAAUCCAAACAUUUCUCAAAACGUUGUAACCCCUCUCCGUAAAACCUGUAUACUUUCCCAGAAAUGUAAAAUAUAAAUAUACAUAUAUAUUCUCAAAACUUCAUUUUUACUAUCUCAACAUUUUUCUUUAUCAAUCAUGCCAUGCCAUGUCUAAUUCAACAGUUAAAUAUGGAUGCAUCAAUAAUAAUCAUAUCAGGUGCAAGAAAGUAAUCAACCGGAGGCCCUCUAAUAGCCCUGUACGGUUGAACCUAGAGCUCAAAAUCUAUCACUAUCACUCUACCGGAGUCACCUCUGUGACCCGUCCGGCCUUCUGCACACAAGUUACGCUCUAGUGCUUUUCUCAUCAAUCAUCUGUGCACAUAAUCUAAGGUCACCCACCAGUCGGAAUCUCACUAAACACUCUCGCGACUGGCCUGUCGUACCCACUCCGCGUGGACUGUACGACUAGCAUCUACUUGGAUCCAAGGCGAGCGUGCGAUGCGGUGAAUACUAUAAGCACUAAACCAUGGUGCAGGAUUUGAGCUCAAUAUAUAUCAACAUCAUCAUAACAGUAAUUAAAUACUCACCUGAUACUCACCUGUGCGUCCGCCGCACCAUUCAUUCAUAUGCAUCAUAUCUCAAUUCAUACUUUUCAUAUCAUUUCAUGCAUGGCAAUUCGAUUCACAUUUCUAUAUACUUUUCAUAUACUUUUAUGCAUGGCAUUUCAACUAAUAUAUCUCAUAUACUUUUAUACAUUUUCAUUAAAAGCAUAAUUUCAUGCAUUUUCAAUUUCUGGGAAACGGCAAGUAUAUAUGUAUACGGAAAACAAAACUGCCCACUCACCUGGAGUUCGCCCUACAACUCCCUAGCACAAUACGCCAAGGCGUCAUGACGAUCGGCGCCUAAAACAAUAAUUAAUUCCAACCUCAGAAUUCAUAGUGAUAGAAUAUAUAACUUAUAUAAAAUACGUCACUACGUAGUUCGAUCCGGAAGAUCUGCCACUCAGAUUUUAAAUCCAUAACUUCCAGAGGUCCACAAUAUACCUCUAGGACAACUUCCUAAAAUUUCAUUACCAUCCAACGGUCGGAUCUCCGUCAAUUUCCAAAACUAAGUGACGGUUAACAUUUUAUUUUAUGAACUUACAAUUCCAAUUCCGGAAGAUCCGUAAACUCGGAUUCCCAAUCCGUAAGUUCCAAUAAUCCUCAAAUAUUACGUAUUACAACGUAUCAAAGUUUGGUAACGAUCCAACGGUCGGAUCGUCAAUUCACAUUUUCACCAAAACUAUAAAACGUUAUUCGAACACCUAACCAACAAUCCUUAAUAACUUUCUCAUACGGUGCUCAAAUUGGGUAUAUGAAUAUACCACGGUGAUCUACUCGACGUCACGGACGUCGACAUAUUUUUAAAAUAAUUUUAUUUAUUUAUUUUUUUAACUGUAGCACCUUCUUCUUCCUUGGGUCGCCGGACUGGUUUUUCCGGCGGCCGUUUUCCGGGCAGUUUUUCAAAUUGUCAUAACUUUGUCAUUUCUCAACGAAAUCAAGUGAUUCAAAAACGAAAGUUGUAGCCCUUGAAGAGACAAAGAGAAUGGUACCUUUCCCAACACCUAGUUCGCCGUAGUUUGGCCGGAAACUGCCUCGAAAGCCUCGGAGGUCGCCGGAAAACUGGGUAUUUUUUCAAAUGAGUAUAACUUCUUCAAUACUCAACAAAAUUGAGUGAAACAAAAAGGAAAGUUGUAGUACUUGACGAGACGAAGAGAUUGAUACCUACCUCGACGCCUAACUCGCCGGGGAUUCGCCGGAAAAUGCCUCGAAAGCUCCGGCCAAACUUUGAACUUAUCGAUCUCCGUGUUCUUACGUCCAAAAACUUCCAACGAAGCACUCCGAGCUUCCUUGGAACCUCACUAAGCUCACUGUGAGCUUGGAUUGUCCUAAAACAAAGUCAAUUCGAAGAUCAUGAACAGUGCACUUUCACGGGAGUUUAGAAUCUAGGUUUUCCGAAGUAAAACUUACCUGAAAUUGGUGUCUACGUGAUCGUGGAGUCUCCAGGAGUUCGAUGGUGGUCUUAACUCCGUCGUUGGUGGAAGUUUAAGGUUGUUUUGUGGUUGGUUUGUUCGAACGGAGAAGAAGAGUGACAGAGAGAGAGAGAUUCGUGAGGGAGGAGAGAGAGUGAAUGACAGUAUACGGGAAUUGGGGAGGGAAUCAGGGUAGGAGGCCCUACUUAAAUCCCAAACACAACUUUAAACAUACUAAUGUAAAUCCAAUUGUUAAAUUUUCGCCCCUUAGUCCCGCU